CCUACGGGUGGCAGCAGUGGGGAAUAUUGCACAAUGGGGGGAACCCUGAUGCAGCGACGCCGCGUGAGUGAAGAAGUCUUUCGGUACGUAAAGCUCUAUCAGCAGGGAAGAAAAACGGACGGGACCUGAGUAAGAAGACGUGGCUAACUACGUGCCAGCAGCCGCGGUAAUACGUCGGGGGCAAGCGUUAUCCGGAAUUACAGGGUGUAAAGGGAGGGUAGACGGGAAUGGAAGUCCGGAGGGCAAGGCGGCCGAUCAACCGCCGAACUGCUCUGGAAACUGUAUGGCUUGAGUGCAGGAGGGGUCAGCGGAAUUCCUGGUGUAGCGGUGAACUGCGUAGAUAUCACGUGGAACUCCGGUGGCGAAGGCGGCUUACUGGACUGUAACUGACGUUGUGGCUCGAAAGCGUGG
rnacentral:rRNA from 1 species